rnacentral:rRNA from 3 species
UACGUAGGGGGCGAGCGUUGUCCGGAUUCAUUGGGCGUAAAGAGCUCGUAGGCGGUUCGGUAAGUCAGGUGUGAAAACUCCAGGCUCAACUUGGAGACGCCACCUGAUACUGUCGUGACUAGAGUCCGGUAGGGGAGCAUGGAAUUCCUGGUGUAGCGGUGAAAUGCGCAGAUAUCAGGAGGAACACCAGCGGCGAAGGCGGUGCUCUGGGCCGGAACUGACGCUGAGGAGCGAAAGCGUGGGGAGCGAACAGG